GGGGCCGUAGCUCAGUUGGCUAGAGCGUCUGCCUGUCACGCAGAAGGUCGCGAGUUCGAGUCUCGUCGGCCCCG
rnacentral:tRNA from 1 species